rnacentral:rRNA from 1 species
GUCCUACGGGAGGCAGCAGUGGGGGAUAUUGCACAAUGGGGGAAACCCUGAUGCAGCGACGCCGCGUGAGUGAAGAAGUAUCUCGGUAUGUAAAGCUCUAUCAGCAGGAAAGAUAAUGACGGUACCUGACUAAGAAGCCCCGGCUAACUACGUGCCAGCAGCCGCGGUAAUACGUAGGGGGCAAGCGUUAUCCGGAUUUACUGGGUGUAAAGGGAGCGUAGACGGCAGCGCAAGUCUGGAGUGAAAUGCCGGGGCCCAACCCCGGAACUGCUUGGGAAACUGUGGGUCUCGAGUGCGGGGGGGGG